AGAGUUUGAUCAUGGCUCAGAACGUACGCUGGCGGCACGCCUAACACAUGCAAGUCGAACGCAGUAGCAAUACUGAGUGGCAGACGGGUGAGUAACAUGUGGGAAUCUGCCUUGUGGUUCAGGACAACAUUGGGAAACCGAUGCUAAUACUGGAUAAGCCCUUACGGGGAAAGUUUUAAUGCCAUAAGAUGAGCCCGCAUUUGAUUAGUUAGUUGGUGAGGUAAUGGCUCACCAAGACAAUGAUCAAUAGCUGAUCUGAGAGGAUGAUCAGCCACACUGGGACUGAGACACGGCCCAGACUCCUACGGGAGGCAGCAGUGGGGAAUCUUGCACAAUGGAGGAAACUCUGAUGCAGCGAUGCCGCGUGAGUGAAGAAGGCCUUUGGGUUGUAAAGCUCUUUUGUAGGGGAAGAUAAUGACUGUACCCUAAGAAUAAGGUCCGGCUAACUUCGUGCCAGCAGCCGCGGUAAUACGAAGGGACCUAGCGUAGUUCGGAAUUACUGGGCGUAAAGCGCGCGUAGGCCGUUGAGUUAGUUAAUUGUGAAAUCCCAAAGCUUAACUUUGGAACUGCAAUUAAAACUGCUCGACUAGAGUUUGAUAGAGGAAAGCGGAAUACAUAGUGUAGAGGUGAAAUUCGUAGAUAUUAUGUAGAACACCAGUUGCGAAGGCGGCUUUCUGGGUCAACACUGACGCUGAGGCGCGAAAGUAUGGGUAGCAAAGAGGAUUAGAUACCCUCGUAGUCCAUACCAUAAACGAUGAUUGCUAGAUGUUGGAAAUUUAUUUUCAGUAUCGCAGCUAACGCAUUAAGCAAUCCGCCUGGGGAGUACGACCGCAAGGUUAAAACUCAAAUGAAUUGACGGGGACCCGCACAAGCGGUGGAGCAUGUGGUUCAAUUCGACGCAACGCGAAGAACCUUACCUGGGCUUGAACUGUAAUGGACCGUGGCAGAGAUGUCACUUUUCGCAAGAACUGUUAUAGAGGUGCUGCAUGGCUGUCGUCAGCUCGUGUCGUGAGAUGUUGGGUUAAGUCCCGCAACGAGCGCAACCCUUACCUAUAGUUGCCAGCGAGUAAUGUCGGGAACUCUAUAGGGACUGCCCGGGUUAACCGGGAGGAAGGUGGGGAUGAUGUCAAGUCCUCAUGGCCCUUA
rnacentral:rRNA from 1 species